rnacentral:rRNA from 1 species
UACGUAGGGUGCGAGCGUUAAUCGGAAUUACUGGGCGUAAAGCGUGCGCAGGCGGUUCGCUGUGUCCGAUGUGAAAGCCCCGGGCUUAACCUGGGAAUGGCAUUGGAAACUGGCGGGCUUGAGUGCGGCAGAGGGGGGUGGAAUUCCGCGUGUAGCAGUGAAAUGCGUAGAGAUCCGGAGGAACACCAGUGGCGAAGGCGACACGCUGGGCCGUACCUGACGCUAAAGCGCGACAGCAUGGGGAGCAAACAGG